rnacentral:rRNA from 1 species
UACGAAGGGGGCUAGCGUUGCUCGGAAUUACUGGGCGUAAAGGGAGCGUAGGCGGAUAGUUCAGUCAGAGGUGAAAGCCCAGGGCUCAACCUUGGAACUGCCUUUGAUACUGUCGAUCUGGAGUAUGGAAGAGGUGAGUGGAAUUCCGAGUGUAGAGGUGAAAUUCGUAGAUAUUCGCAAGAACACCAGUGGCGAAGGCGGCCAACUGGACCAACACUGACGCUGAGGCGCGAAAGCGUGGGGAGCAGACAGG